UGUUGGAGAUUUAUUUGUUUAAUAAAACAAGGAUAAAUUUGUGGAUUUAUUUAUCUUUCUAAAAUGUUAAUUAGUAAAGAAUAAAGAUAUGUAUGUCUUCCAAGAGUGUAUAGGCUAGUGGCAAAGCCCACCAAAGCUGGCUUCGGACUCCACUUACUCUUGGUGGGUUAAUGUAAGCCUUUUGAGUGGCCAAGUUUGAAAAGUAUAGCUUUUUUUUUCUAAUCAUCGAAAAGUACAUAGCUUUAAAGAUGACCAGCUCGUGAAAUUGAUAACAAGUGUUUGAAAUGUCGAUGAAUUAUAUAAUUAUGUACUACAGUACUUGUACAUGUUUUUUUUUUUUUUUUGGUAAGAAGUACUUGUACAUGUUAAAGUUGAGCUUAUGUAUUUUAUAGCCAAAUUUGUAAAUGAUAUAGAUGAGAUCGGACAUUUUAUAUAGUUGGUUAUGCUAUAUAGUAAUAGCCUAUCAGGCCCAAUGAUCGGUUCAAAUUCUCGGGUUGGAUCAGUUUCCGGAUUAUAGAUUUUUGACCCGACUUCAUCGAUUCGACCAUUUUCUUCAAGCUCCAGUUGCUCAGUGAGGGGAUUCGAGAAAGUAACAGAGAAAAAAUGGCAAGUCAGGAAAAUGUGAAACACUUGUUCUGUUUCCAAUGCACUCGUCUUUUUUGGCACAACAGGCACUAUGCUUGACAUCAUAAUUGGAGUUAGUCAGUGCGAAAGAGAGCACGCAGAACAUCAAAUGAAAUUAGACGACGAAGCUCAGAUUACA